rnacentral:rRNA from 1 species
GGCGGAUCAGCCCGCGCCCCGUAAAACGGGACGGCCCGCCAGAGGACCCAAACUCUAAUGUUUCUUAUUGUAACUUCUGAGUAAAACAAACAAAUAAAUCAAAACUUUCAACAACGGAUCUCUUGGUUCUGGCAUCGAUGAAGAACGCAGCAAAAUGCGAUAAGUAAUGUGAAUUGCAGAAUUCAGUGAAUCAUCGAAUCUUUGAACGCACAUUGCGCCCGCUGGUAUUCCGGCGGGCAUGCCUGUUCGAGCGUCAUUUCAACCCUCAAGCCCUCGGGUUUGGUGUUGGGGAUCGGCUCUGCCUUCUGGCGGUGCCGCCCCCGAAAUACAUUGGCGGUCUCGCUGCAGCCUCCAUUGCGUAGUAGCUAACACCUCGCAACUGGAACGCGGCGCGGCCAUGCCGUAAAACCCCAACUUCUGAAUGUUGACCUCGGAUCAGGUAGGAAUACCCGCUGAACUUAAGCAUAU